UACGGAGGGGGCUAGCGUUGUUCGGAAUUACUGGGCGUAAAGCGUGCGUAGUCGGUAUUGAGAGUCGUGGGUGAAAUCCCAGGGCUUAACCCUGGAACUGCCUGCGAGACCUCAGUACUAGAGUGUGAGAGGGGAUAGUGGAAUACCCAGUGUAGCGGUGAAAUGCGCAGAUAUCAGGAAGAACACCCGUGGCGAAGGCGGCUCUCUGGAACGCAACUGACGCUGAGACGCGAAAGCGUGGGGAGCAAACAGG
rnacentral:rRNA from 1 species